GUAGCUUUGCCAGAUUAUGUCAUAA
rnacentral:piRNA from 1 species